UGGGGAAUAUUGGACAAUGGGCGCAAGCCUGAUCCAGCCAUGCCGCGUGUGUGAAGAAGGCCUUCGGGUUGUAAAGCACUUUUGUCCGGAAAGAAAUCCUGUCGGCUAAUACCCGGCGGGGAUGACGGUACCGGAAGAAUAAGCACCGGCUAACUUCGUGCCAGCAGCCGCGGUAAUACGAAGGGUGCAAGCGUUACUCGGAAUUACUGGGCGUAAAGCGUGCGUAGGUGGUUUGUUAAGUCUGAUGUGAAAGCCCUGGGCUCAACCUGGGAACUGCAUUGGAUACUGGCUUACUAGAGUGCGGUAGAGGGUGGCGGAAUUCCCGGUGUAGCAGUGAAAUGCGUAGAUAUCGGGAGGAACAUCCGUGGCGAAGGCGGCCACCUGGACCAGCACUGACACUGAGGCACGAAAAGCGUGGGGAGCAAAACAGGAUUAGAUACCCUGGUAGUCCACGCCCCAAAACGAUGCGAACUGGAUGUUGGGAGUAACUAGGCUCUCAGUAUCGAAGCUAACGCGUUAAGUUCGCCGCCUGGGAAGUACGGUCGCAAGACUGAAACUUAAAGGAAUUGACGGGGUCAUAGCUGUUUCC
rnacentral:rRNA from 1 species